rnacentral:tRNA from 1 species
GCUUUCGUGGUGUAAUGGUCAGUGCACUCGGCGCGUAUUCGAGAGGUCCAUGGUUCGAGUCCCGGCGAGGGCA